rnacentral:rRNA from 1 species
GACGAACGCUGGCGGCGUGCUUAACACAUGCAAGUCGAACGGAAAGGCCCUGCUUUUGUGGGGUGCUCGAGUGGCGAACGGGUGAGUAACACGUGAGUAACCUGCCCUUGACUUUGGGAUAACUUCAGGAAACUGGGGCUAAUACCGGAUAGGAGCUCCUGCUGCAUGGUGGGGGUUGGAAAGUUUCGGCGGUUGGGGAUGGACUCGCGGCUUAUCAGCUUGUUGGUGGGGUAGUGGCUUACCAAGGCUUUGACGGGUAGCCGGCCUGAGAGGGUGACCGGCAACGUGGGGAAGGGCCAGCGGCCAAGACGACGCGGGGGGGCAGAAGGGGAUGACUUGAAAAACGGGGCGGAGGGCUGGCGCGGCGCGGGGGGGUGUGGGAUGGCCGCCUGGGGGUGGGAAGCGGCUGGGGGAUGGGAGGAAGGGGGAGGAAGGGGAAGGGGUAAAGAACCACGGGCUAAAGAGUGGCAAGCAGCGGAGGUCAGAAUCGAAGAACAAACUUGGAAGC